rnacentral:lncRNA from 1 species
GCACAAAGGGUCUGACAGUGGCACAAAGAUACACAGUGAGGGAGUGAAAACUCUACAGAAAGGGCAAGACAGGAAGGAGACAAGUGACACUGAAGAAGAGGAGGUGGAUGGAAACAGGACUGUGUACCUGUGCGCACUCAACAGCAAGUCAGAUCAAAGGAGAGCUGAUCAGUGCUGCAUGAACUUCAAAGGAAGCUCAGGAACCAGCUCAGGGGCAGGUCUUCCAUCUGCAAUCACUGUGCCA